rnacentral:lncRNA from 1 species
GUCUACCAGUUGCCACUUCUGGUCCAUUUGCAUAUAACACUGGAGAAGUGUUCCUUUAUCUUUGUGAAGCCCUUAACAUUCAAGGAGCCACUACUGCUUCUAUGCUGCUGAAAAAUACAAGACACUGCCUCUACCUCUGCAUCUGUCCUUUGCUUUUUGCUUGGAAACUAUCACAUCAAAUCACACUGAGAUCAGGAGAUGAGAUGAAGGAUCAGCUGAGGAACAGUCAUCCCAACAGUAGUGCCUGUUCCUACUGAGCUCUCACUGGCAAACUAUCAGUAGAAGAAGCCUGGCUUCUUUCUCUGCUAGUGUUGGCGUCUCCCUGCUUUCUUCCUUUCAAAUGAUGGUAUUAGAUCUGUCUUUCUCUACUACGAGCUGCAAUGCCCCUGUUACAGAAAAAAAAGAUUUGAGGAGACAGCUUGAAGCACCAUGGU